GUGUUGGUCCUGUGCGACGGAGCGCCGCGAACCAUGUCAGGCGGGGAACCGAGCAGCAUUAAGCGGUCAGCCCGUGCGACACAGUCCGCCUGCACACC
rnacentral:SRP_RNA from 1 species